rnacentral:rRNA from 1 species
CGGCUUUAGAGUUUGAUCAUGGCUCAGAUUGAACGCUGGCGGCAGGCCUAACACAUGCAAGUCGAGCGGUAGGGAAGCUUGCUUCCCACGAGCGGCGGACGGGUGAGUAAUGUAUGGGGAUCUGCCCGAUAGAGGGGGAUAACUACUGGAAACGGUAGCUAAUACCGCAUAAUCUCUCAGGAGCAAAGCAGUUCGUUGCGCUAUCGGAUGAACCCAUAUGGGAUUAGCUAGUUGGUGAGGUAAUGGCUCACCAAGGCGACGAUCCCCAGCUGGUCUGAGAGGAUGAUCAGCCACACUGGGACUGAGACACGGCCCAGACUCCUACGGGAGGCAGCAGUGGGGAAUAUUGCACAAUGGGCGCAAGCCUGAUGCAGCCAUGCCGCGU